rnacentral:RNase_P_RNA from 1 species
CGUAAACGCUGCUAACUUGUUUAGUAGAGGAAAGUCCACGCUCACACACUUCUGUGAUGAGUGUAGUGUUCAUGCAAAGGGAAUAAAUAACCUUUGGCAGGUUUAGCCUAACGGCGCUGAAUUAGCCUAAGUCUUCGGAUAUGGCUAUACUAAGCAUAAAGUGCCAUAGUGACGAUUUAGCUUGGAAACGGGCUUGGUGGAACGCGGUAAACCCCAUGAGUGAGAAACCCAAAUUUGGUAGGGGAACCCUUAUGAAGGAAACGAACGGAUUAAGGGAUGCUAACCAUAUAGCAUAGAUAAAUGUUUACGACCACCAAGGUGGUACAGAACGUGGCUUAUU